ACUCAAAUGAAUUGACGGGGGCCCGCACAAGCGGUGGAGCAUGUGGUUUAAUUCGAUGCAACGCGAAGAACCUUACCUACUCUUGACAUCCAGAGAAGCCAGCGGAGACGCAGGUGUGCCUUCGGGAGCUCUGAGACAGGUGCUGCAUGGCUGUCGUCAGCUCGUGUUGUGAAAUGUUGGGUUAAGUCCCGCAACGAGCGCAACCCUUAUCCUUGUUUGCCAGCGAGUCAUGUCGGGAACUCCAGGGAGACUGCCGGUGAUAAACCGGAGGAAGGUGGGGACGACGUCAAGUCAUCAUGGCCCUUACGAGUAGGGCUACACACGUGCUACAAUGGCGCAUACAGAGGGCAGCAAGCUAGCGAUAGUGAGCGAAUCCCAAAAAGUGCGUCGUAGUCCGGAUUGGAGUCUGCAACUCGACUCCAUGAAGUCGGAAUCGCUAGUAAUCGUGAAUCAGAAUGUCACGGUGAAUACGUUCCCGGGCCUUGUACACACCGCCCGUCACACCAUGGGAGUGGGCUGCAAAAGAAGUGGGUAGUUUAACCUUUCGGGGAGGACGCUCACCACUUUGUGGUUCAUGACUGGGGUGAAGUCGUAACAAGGUAGCCCUAGGGGAACCUGGGGCUGGAUCACCUCCUUA
rnacentral:rRNA from 1 species